AAAAAAAAAAAAAUAAUAACAAUAAUAAUAAUAAUAAUAAUAAUAAUAAUAAUAAUAAAAUAAAUCAAUUAAUAUAUACACAUAAUGAAAGUAAAGAUAAAAAAUUUUGUACCCAAAGAAACUUAAAUGUGGAUUACUCAGAAAUAGAAAUAAAAAAUAUAUUGAAUAAAGUAGAAAGUAUGGAUAAUUAUAACAUGAACAAUAUGAACAAUAUGAACAAUAUGAACAAUAUGAACAAUAUGAACAACAUGAACAAUAUGAACAAUAUAAACAAUAUAAACAAUAUAAACAAUAUAAAUAAUAUAAAAAAUAUAAAUAAUAUAAAUAAUAUAAAUAAUAUAAAUAAUAUAAAUAAUUAUAACACUCAUGAUGAUAGUAUAAACAAUUAUGAAACUGUCAUUAUAAACAAUGAUAAUAUAAAAAAUAAAUUUAACCACUUACAAAAUUACUUUGCUUAUAAUAAAAAUAAUUCUUUACAAAAUAAUAUAAAUGUGUAUGAUCAAACCAUUAGUAAUGUUAUAAGUAAGAAUGGAAGGGGUGAAAAUAAAAAAACUGACACUAGUAACAACUUAGUUCAAAAUGGCACUGUAGUUAAAAAUGGAAAUGUAGUUAAAGCUGACAACGUAGUAAAUGAUGAUAAUAUAAUUAAUGAUAAUGAAUUAAAAUUAAAAAAGCAUAUUAAACUUUUAGAGUUACUAAAAUAUGUCAUUUUGCACCCAAACGAAACAAAUAAUAAUGAAUGUAACCAAAACAACGGGAACAGUAGUAAUAGAAAUCAAAAAGAAAACUACUACGACAAUAACAACAAUAAUGACAAUAACAACAAUAAUGACAAUAACAACAAUAAUGACAAUAACAACAAUAAUAACAAUAAUAACAAUAACAACAAUAAUGACAAUAAUAACAAUGCGAGUAUAAAGUUUAAUAAAAACUACAAAAUAAAUGACCCCGGCAAUGACAAAUUAUCAACAGAAACAGUAGGAGUACAUGAAUCCGAUACAUUUAAAAACCAAAAAAAAAAACGUUAGGGGUCAUAAUAACCCUUAUUCUUUACAUUUGAAUAAUGAAAAAAUAAAAUAUAUAGAUAUAAUAAGUUAUUAUAUGUAUUUAUUAUCACCUUUUAAUAAAUUUCAUGAUUUAAAUAAAAAAGAAAGUGUAGAAAAUGGAGAACAAUUAAAUACGAUAAGAGAAAAGUUGGAUAAUAUUUUAUUAAAAUAUGAUGAUAUUAUUACUGAUAUAAUUGAAAAAAAUAAUAUAAAAGAAGUAACAGAAAAGUUAUUUUCAAAUGUAGAAAACGGUACGGAUAUAAAUAAUAUGGAUAAUAGUCAAAUAAGUAAUAAUAAAAAUAUGAGCAGUAAUAACAGCAUAAAACAAAAUACAUAUCACAAUAAUUAUAAUUUAAAUUUUGAUAAAAUAAAUAAUCCCGUCAAUGGUCUAAUUUUAAAAAAUGAAGACCUUCUCAUAAAUGGAAAUAGUACUACCCGAUUGGAACGAAUUUAUGAAAAUAAUAAAAACCAGAAUCAGAACCUGGCACAGAGCCAGAAUCAGAAUCAGAAUCAGAAUCAGAAUCAGAAUCAGAACCAUAAUCAGAUACAGAAUCAGAACCAUAAUCAGAUACAGAAUCAGAACCAUAAUCAGAUACAGAUACAGAAUCAUAACAAUAAUCAGAUACAGAAUAAGAACCAGAAUAAGAACCAGAACCAGAACCAGAACCAGAAUCAGAAUCAGAAUCAGAACCAGAAUCAGAAUCAUAAUCGAAAUGAUUAUAAAAAUAAUGAUUUAGAAUAUGGUCACUGUUUAGAUGAGUUAAAAGAUUCUUUAACAAAUAUUAGAGUCAUUGGCUCACAUAAUGACUCUAAUGGUAGCACACCUUUUUUUAACAAUUCUACACAUCCAUACACAGAAAAAAAUAUUUUAUACUACAAUAAUAGUUACCAAAACAAUAAUAAUUUAAAAUUUAAACAUAAUUAUUUACUUAAUAAUGAAUUGAAUGAUAAUUAUUAUUUAUAUAAUAUAUUACCAUAUAAAUAUUUAAAUGAUGAUAAAACUAAAUAUAUUUAUAAUAAAGAUAAAAAUAAUAACAGUAUAAUAACAUGUGAUAACAGAGAUGAUAAUAAAAAUUUGAUUUGUGAAAAUAUAUCAAGUGGUAGAUAUAUAAAUGAUCGAAAUAUAAAUGAUCGAUUUAUAAAUGAUCGAUAUACAGAAUGUAAUGGUACACAUAAUUUAAUAUGUGAGAAUAACUCUUUAAAAAGAACAAACACAAAUAAUAAUAUUAUUUUUUAUAUAAAUAAUAAAAAUAAUGUUGAAAAUGAUUCUACUUACCUUAUUUUAAAUAAUACAGAUAUAACACAAAAAAAAAAAUAUAAUACUAAUACACUUUUUACUAAUUACAAAGAAACGUUUAAUGACACAAAUAGAAUAAACGAUUUUAGUGAUAAUAACAAUGUAUUAUUUUAUACAAAUAAUGAAAUGAUGAAUAACAUACGUAUGUAUGAGCCUAUUAUUUUAAAUAGAAAAAAUAUGGAUAAACAAAAAGAAACAUAUACACACAUAGAUGAAUCUUUUAAUCAAGUAUCUUAUUUAAAUAAUAAUAAUAAUUUAAUACAAAUUGAUAAACAACGAAUGAAUUAUGAAAUACCAUGUGAAAAUAAUAAACAUAUCGAAAAAAAACACUCUUUUUUAAAUAGUAGUAUUACAACAGAACAUAUGAAUAAUAUUGGAUGUAGUAAUAAUAUGUUUAAUAAUAACAAUGAAAUAUUCAAUAAUAACGGUGAAGGUUAUAAAAAAGGAGAAACAACUGGCGGUAGUUGUGGUGAUGGUAAUGAUGAUAAUGGUAGUGGUGGUGGUAGUGGUAAUGGUAAUGGUAAUGAUAGUGG
ensembl:lncRNA